rnacentral:rRNA from 1 species
GAUCAUGACAAAUUGCGGAUCCUAUGUUGUAAAAAACGAAGGACGACUGGGUCAGGUCUAUCCCCUAUCAGUUUUCGUAGGAAGUGUAUUGUACUUUCUAGACUAUGACGGGUAACGAAAAAUAAGGGUUUGAUUUCGGAGAAGGAGCCUGAGAGACGGCUACUACAUCUAAGGAAGGCAGCAGGCGCGCAAAUUUCCCAUUGCUUAUCAUAUAAUGUAAGCGAGGAAGUGACGAUCAAUAACAAUGUGUGACUCUUUAUGGGUUAUGCAAUUGGAAUGACUACAAUUUAAAGAGUUUAAGAAGGAUCAAUUGGAGGGCAAGUCUGGUGCCAGCAGCCGCGGUAAUUCCAGCUCCAAUAGGAUAUAUCAAAGUUGUUGCAGUUAAAAAGCUCGUAGUUGAAUUUCUGGAAGGUAGAAGUGUCUUUUUUAGAGAAGCAAUUUUUUAUUAAAAGCACCGCUUUCCAUUUUGUGGAUUUCUGUUUUGUAUGAAGAUAGUUUACUCUAUUUUUGUAUAAAAUACCACUCCGUCACUGAGAGCAAAUUGGAGUGCUCAAAGCAGGCUUUAUUAGCUUUGAACAUUUUAGCUUGGAAUGACAAGAUAUGACUUUUGUUUUAUUUUGUUGGUUAUGAAAUAAAAGUAAUGAUUAACAGGAACAGUUGCGGGGGUACUCGUAUUGAAAGGUCAGAGGUGAAAUUCUUGGAUUCUUUCAAGACGAACGACUGCGAAAGCAUUUACCAAGGAUGUUUUCAUUAAUCAAGAACGAAAGCUCGGGGAUCGAAGAUGAUUAGAUACCAUCGUAGUCCGACGCCAUAAACGAUGCCGACUCGGGAUUAUUUUGUUAGUUUAAAUUAAAAAAGAACACAAAGUAGCACCGUAUGAGAAAUCAAAGUCUUUGGGUUCCGGGGGGAGUAUGGUCGCAAGGCUGAAACUUAAAGGAAUUGACGGAAGGCCACACCAGAGGUGGAGCCUGCGGUUUAAUUUGACCCAACACGGGGAAACUUACCAGGUCCAGACAUGAUGAGGAUUGACAGUUUGAAGGCACUUUCUUGAUUUCAUGGGUGGUGGUGCAUGGCCGUUCUUAGUUGGUGGAGUGAUUUGUCUGGUUGAUUCCGAUAACGAACGAGACGGGGUGAAUUUACUAGUUUGUUAUAUAAUUUACGUUAUAUAAGACUUCUUUAUUCGACAACUUGGUUUUACCAAGAGGAAGCGCCCCGCAAUAACAGGUCUGUGAUGCCCUUAGAUGUUCUGGGCUACACGCGCGCUACAAUGACGAAUUCAACGAGUUUAAAAUUUAUUCCUUAUCCGGAAGGAUGUGGGUAAUCUUUUCAAUAUUCGUCGUGAUGGGGCUAGAUUUUUGCAAUUAUUAAUCUUCAACGAGGAAUCUCUAGUAUGUGCAAGUCAUCAGCUUGCGCAGAAUGCGUCCCUGCCCUUUGUACACACCGCCCGUCGCACCUACCGAUUGGACGAUCCGGCAAGAUGUUUGGAGUUGUUUUGAUUGUAGAGUAAUUUGUGAUGAAAAUGACAAAGCUCUUCAAACCUUAUCGUCUAGAGGAAGGUGAAGUCGUAACAAGGUC